CCCGCCUCCAUCUUGGGCCCCCCACCCACCCGCCGAAGGGGCUGAGGGCGGAGCUGCGCCAGCUGGGAAUCAGUACCUGCAGAUCUCACGGCAACAGAGGCUGUGACAAAGUCACCGAGGGCUCCCGAGGGGCAACACGCGGAAGAGGAGAGAUGGAUCCCAGGCUCCGGCCCGAGCCCGAGACAGAGGCCCAGCCAAACGCCGGAAGCCACGCCCUCCUCCCCAACUGCGUCGCUGGACGGUUCCUACACUGGCGCCACAGAUUGAAUAAGGCUCCAGGACCCUCCCCUACACCCACCGUCCCCAGCAUUAGUGCGCUUUAUGGACAGGGAAACAGGCCCCUGUAGGCGGAGUCACACGCCCUGAGUAUCACAGCUACUUAAGAAGUGAGCUGAGCCUUGAAAUGCACUUGCUCUUUCCCUUACCUGGGUCUCUUUGUAUAAUGCAUCUUAUUCGCUAUUUAAAAGUAUAAAGUAGAACAACUGGACACCUUU